rnacentral:rRNA from 1 species
CACGGGGGGAGCAAGCGUUGUUCGGAAUUACUGGGCGUAAAGCGCGCGUAGGCGGCUUUGUAAGUUAGAGGUGAAAGCCCGGGGCUCAACCCCGGAACUGCCUUUAAAACUGCAUCGCUUGAAUCCGGGAGAGGCAAGUGGAAUUCCUGGUGUAGCGGUGAAAUGCGUAGAUAUCAGGAGGAACACCUGUG